rnacentral:tRNA from 2 species
GGGGAUAUGGCGUGUAGACUGGCAUGCCGAAGUGACUGGCAUGCAUGGGGUGCAAGGGGUCGAGUGUUCGAAUCACUCCGUCCCGACCA